GAUGAACGCUGGCGGCGUGCUUAACACAUGCAAGUCGAACGAAGAUGCCGGAGUGCUUGCACUUUGGCAGACUGAGUGGCGGACGGGUGAGUAACGCGUGGGUAACCUGCCUUAUACAGGGGGAUAACAGUUGGAAACGACUGCUAAUACCGCAUAAGCGCACGGUAUCGCAUGAUACAGUGUGAAAAACUCCGGUGGUAUAAGAUGGACCCGCGUCUGAUUAGCUAGUUGGUGAGGUAACGGCCCACCAAGGCGACGAUCAGUAGCCGGACUGAGAGGUUGAACGGCCACAUUGGGACUGAGAUACGGCCCAGACUCCUACGGGAGGCAGCAGUGGGGAAUAUUGCACAAUGGGCGCAAGCCUGAUGCAGCAACGCCGCGUGGAGGAAGACGGUUUUCGGAUUGUAAACUCCUGUUCUUAGUGAAGAAUAAUGACGGUAGCUAAGGAGCAAGCCACGGCUAACUACGUG
rnacentral:rRNA from 1 species